rnacentral:tmRNA from 1 species
GGGGGCGAUCGGUUUCGACGGGCAGUGGACGUCGUCCGUUGCGUGCCGAGGGGCUGGGUCCUCGUAAAUCCACCAGCAACGGUGCUUACAAGUGCCGACGAAAACCUUGCUCUCGCGGCCUAGCUGAACACUAGGAAUCCGUGAGCGUCGCCGGACCCGAUGCCUGCUGAGGCCCGGCGGCGUCGUCCAGCAGGCUGGUCCAAAGCCACGUCGGGGGGCGGCGGACGAGAACUCUUCCCGACUCGCGCACCGCUCGGCGCGCGCCGAAGCCAGGCGGGGGCGCUAAAACCUCAACACGGGGCUACGCACGUAGACGCGGCCGAAAGAAGCUGAUCGGACGCGGGUUCGAUUCCCGCCGCCUCCACCA